rnacentral:lncRNA from 1 species
CAUUGAUUUGAUCCGUUUAUGAUCCGAUCCAAUUCGAUCCGAUUACUAUCCUCAGGAUAAACUAUAUCAUCUUUAUGUAUAUAUAAUAUGCUGGGAUCUCAUGUGCACGCUGUCCACAAAUUAUCAAAUUUUUGUAAAUAGUUAUGGCCAAGUAUUAUUUCCAUCCUGAUUCACCACUGAAUUGAUGAGAGAGAGAGAGAGAGAGAGAGAGCAC